GGUCUGCAGCCAGCAAAUUUAACAGGAUCUGCAAUCAACUGCCUGGCUAAAUGCAGAUGUUGAGUGCUAUUGGAAUUUAAUUACUUCCCUAGGCUCUUUAUACCCCUUUAUUGAAAAAAGUGGUUGCUUACAACAAGAAAGCACACACUCAUUAAAAAACAAAAGAUUUUAUAAAUAUCCAAACAAUGACAGAUGUUCAGCUGGGGAAAAGGGCAUGGGGCAAUAUGAAAAAAGUGCAGUCAUUACAUCAGUUAUUCAUAGCCAGGUUUUAAAAUAAUUAAAAGGAAAUGCUAAUUUGCAAAAUUUUGCUUAUUAUACAGUGUUUCUCUCACAGAAAAUGCUUUUAGUUUGGACAUACUUCAUACAUAGAAAUAUAAUAUGUUUCAAAAAUAACUGCUACUCACAGACUAUAUAUAUUUUGAAAUGUCAUAUUUUUUUAAGUAGCAACCUGAACAUAAGAAAAAUUCAAAAAUUCCAAAUAAAAGAAUCAAAAGGGGGCAAUUACGAGGAAAAUAAGCAGAAAUAAAGAUGAAAAAAGGAGAUAGCAUACUAUUGAUAGGAAAUAAAAUGGGUCUACAGGCAAAGCUACAACAAUAUUGCACUAUUUGUGCAGAAGUGGGUGGCAAACAGCAAAAAGUAAAAGGCUCCAACAUGGCUGAGGCAUGAGGCAGUACAAAACAGUUGUUCAUAGCAAGUAUUAGACAUAUUUUGUGGUCACAAAGAUAACAGAACAAUUUGCUGUGAAAAUGACGCAAAGGAAGUUACACUUUAUUUGAUCCAUCCACAACCAAGAACGAUCACUGCUUAAAAUUUUGAAAUAAUGAAUCCUAGAGGAAACUACAAUGGAUCAUGAACAGUGAAAUUCAAUCUCUACAGAAACAGAAGAGAAGUAUUUCUUAAUAUUAUUGUGCUGCCAACUCUCUAUUGUAUUUAUUACAUAACAUGCAUCAAAUUCAUUGCAGCUUGGGAUAAUGCAAUAUAUUUAAUAUUGCAGUGUCUGACAACUAGAUAAGCUGCAGAGAGAUGGUUCAUAGAACAGUAUAUUAGAAUCAAGAAGUACAAAGAUAUGACAUUCAUUGAAUAGUCAGUACGAAACCAGUUUGGAAAGUGUGAGAAAAUACCAAAAGGGAUGUUCCUUUGUGCCUGGUUGGUAGGUGUAUGUCGCAAUAAGUUGUUGCAGAUCUCUUUCUAUAUGAGUGUUCAUCUGAAAAGGCCUAGCAAGUCCUUUGGUAAAGGGAUUGUUUACUACUGUAGAUUUUUUAACUGUCAAUAAAAAUGGCUGACAAUA